GACGAACGCUGGCGGCGUGCUUAACACAUGCAAGCCGGGCGGAAAUGCCACUUCGGUGGUACUCGUGCCGCGAACGGGCGCGUCCCACCUGAUUAAUCUGCCACUGGCUUUCGGAUAUCCACCGGAAACGUUAAUUAAUACCGUCUCUGACCCAUUCUCGCAUGAGUAUGUGUGGCAAGUUUUUCGGCCAGGGAUGUGCUCGCGGGCUAUCAGGUUGAUGGUGAGGUAAUGGCUCACCAUGGCUUCGACGGGGAGCCGGCCUGCGAGGGGGACCGGUCACACUGGGACUGAGACACGGCCGAGACUCCUACGGGAGGCAGCAGUGGGGAAUGUUGGACUAUGGGCGGAAGCCUGAUCCAGCAACGCCGCGUGAGGGAUGACGGCCUUCGGGUUGUAAUCCUCUUUCAGUACCGACGAAGCGCAAGUGACGGUAGGUACAGAAGAAGCACGAGCCAACUACGUG
rnacentral:rRNA from 1 species